GCCUCGAUAGCUCAGUUGGUUAGAGUGAGGUGCUGAUAAUGCCAAGGUUGCAGGUUUGAUCCCCAUAUGGAACA